rnacentral:pre_miRNA from 1 species
GCAUUACUCCCUCCGUUCGGAAUUACUCGUCUAAGAAAUGAAUGUAUCUAAAUGUAUUUUAGUUGUAGAUACAUCCAUUUUUGUGACAAGUAAUUUCGAAUGGAGGAGGUACAUU